AUGCAGGAAAUAGUUUGUGGUUGCUCGGGGAAACCGGAAACCGAAAACAGUCGGUCCUGCAGAUGUGAGUGCCCAGCUCUGAUUAGGCUUCUGCGUGCAUCCGACAACAGCUGGUACAUAACAGAGCAUCGAGCGAGUCACAACCAUUCCAUGUCGCUAACAAUGGGAGAGAAAGUGCACUGGCCUUCUCAUAAACAGAUAGAUGUAUACACCAAGGAUUUGAUAAAGCAACUGAGGGAAAACAAUGUUAACCUUGGGAAGGUAUACAGUAUAAUUGGGAGCUUCUUUGGUUCGGUCGAGAAGGUCACUUUCACGAAGGGGACGCUCAAGAAUAUUUGUGGGAAGAUUAGCCGUGAACAGGCUGAAGACGAUGUCCGGAAGACACUUCAGGCGUUUGCUGACAUCCAGGCCAACGCCAUUGCCAAACUGAUUUCGAAUUUUUUUGAACCGAUCGCUGGCAUCCGAUGGGAGGUUCUCUCGCUGAAUCGGCAAGUAGUGGCACAACCAGAGGGGCGGGGCAUGAUGCGUUCGUGGGAUUGA
rnacentral:rRNA from 1 species